CCUACGGGGGGCAGCAGUGGGGAAUAUUGGACAAUGGGGGCAACCCUGAUCCAGCCAUGCCGCGUGUGUGAAGAAGGCCCUCGGGUUGUAAAGCACUUUCAGUGAGGAAGAACGCCUGGUGGUUAAUACCCAUCAGGAAAGACAUCACUCACAGAAGAAGCACCGGCUAACUCCGUGCCAGCAGCCGCGGUAAUACGGAGGGUGCGAGCGUUAAUCGGAAUUACUGGGCGUAAAGCGCGCGUAGGUGGCUUGAUAAGCCGGUUGUGAAAGCCCCGGGCUCAACCUGGGAACGGCAUCCGGAACUGUCAAGCUAGAGUGCAGGAGAGGAGGGUAGAAUUCCCGGUGUAGCGGUGAAAUGCGUAGAGAUCGGGAGGAAUACCAGUGGCGAAGGCGGCCUUCUGGACUGACACUGACACUGAGGUGCGAAAGCGUGGGUAGCAAACAGGAUUAGAUACCCCAGUAGUC
rnacentral:rRNA from 1 species